CAACCCUCGUGCCCCCGGGCGCGGUGUUGGGGAUCGGCCGCCCGAUUGCGGGAGGCCGGCCCCGAAAUGGAGUGGCGACCACGCCGUAGCCUCCUCUGCGUAGUAGUGUAAAAACCUCGCAGGCGGAGAGCGGUGCGGUCCUGCCGUAAAACACCCAACUUUCUAAGG
rnacentral:misc_RNA from 1 species